rnacentral:rRNA from 1 species
GACGAACGCUGGCGGCGUGCUUAACACAUGCAAGUCGAACGGAAAGGCCCUGCUUCUGUGGGGUGCUCGAGUGGCGAACGGGUGAGUAACACGUGAGUAACCUGCCCUUGACUUUGGGAUAACUUCAGGAAACUGGGGCUAAUACCGGAUAGGAGCUCCUGCUGCAUGGUGGGGGUUGGAAAGUUUCGGCGGUUGGGGAUGGACUCGCGGCUUAUCAGCUUGUUGGUGGGGUAGUGGCUUACCAAGGCUUUGACGGGUAGCCGGCCUGAGAGGGUGACCGGCCACAUUGGGACUGAGAUACGGCCCAGACUCCUACGGGGGGCAGCAGUGGGGAAUAUUGCACAAUGGGCGGAAGCCUGAUGCAGCAACGCCGCGUGCGGGAUGACGGCCUUCGGGUUGUAAACCGCUUUCGCCUGUGACGAAGCGUGAGUGACGGUAAUGGGUAAAGAAGCACCGGCUAACUACGUG